UACGAAGGGGGCGAGCGUUGUUCGGAAUUACUGGGCGUAAAGGGCGCGCAGGCGGCCAGAUAAGUCAGAUGUGAAAGCCCCGGGCUCAACCUGGGAAUAGCAUUUGGGACUGUUUGGCUUGAGAUCGGGAGAGGAGAGUGGAAUUCCCAGUGUAGAGGUGAAAUUCGUAGAUAUUGGGAAGAACACCAGUGGCGAAGGCGGCUCUCUGGACCGAUACUGACGCUGAGGCGCGAAAGCGUGGGGAGCAAACAGG
rnacentral:rRNA from 1 species